UUUAUGAACACAGAAAGGGCUUAGUGUCCCUCAAGGCCUGCGGGGGAAGGCUGGGAGGAGACACCUAUAGGUGGUGGCCCUUUGGUUUUGCUUUCUCCACUCUGAACGAACCUGUUGGAACCUCUUUGCUUUGAGGAAACUGAGGCAAGAGGAAGUUAAGUAAAUUACCAGAAGAGACCAGGUGAGGGCUUCACACCUGUUGUGUGGUCCAGAGCCUGGGCUUCUGCCCCUUCUUGUUCUGGGCUGAAGGUCUAUCCAGGGGAGGACUCAGGAUGUUAGUUGAGAGAACAUGAGUCUUUCCUCAGAAGAGGUGGUGGUGAUGCAUGUGACCAGCACCAUGGUCUGCCAAGACAGCUCUAGAGCCUCCUUGCAAAGCUCCCACAGGGAGCCCUCCCUCUAGAGCCCAGCAGGCAGAUCCUUCAAUGCUUACUGUGGAGCAGAGAAGAGACACAGCAGAGCGCAGGUGAAGCCAAAGUACAUUUUCGAAGGACAGUGACUAUCAUCUGGGGUUCCACCCUUUGGGAGUCUCCCUGUCCCAGCACCGCCAUACUAGGAGCCACGUCUCUGGCACUCGCACCCUAAGGAAAUGCAUUCAAAGCACAGCAUGCCAAUGCUUCAAGAUCCAUCCUAGUCCCCGAGGCCUGGUGUCUAUCUGUGUACUUUGAUACCAUCCGAGUAGAUCUUUGGGGCCAUGGCCUGGCCAGAGCAGCCAAAGAGUUGUAGCUCUUCAAGGGGAGGACAGGAACCUACUGCUUGAAGGUCGUCCGAGUAGUCAGGUCCCUGUUGGAUGCUUCUGUUACUUCCUAUGGGAUGUGAUCAGAUGGAACAUCAGCAGGCCUGACCUCCAGGCCCAUUUGUACCACACAUCUUCUCCCACAGCAGAGCUUCACGUGGGAUGCACUGGAGCCACCACAGGGAAGUAACUGUGCAGGAUCUCAAGAAGUCUCACGGAAAUCCUGAAACUGGAACCUGCAAGCAAUCAGCCAUGUGCCUGUUAACCAAGACACUGAACUGUUCUUGGGGGGGGGUGGACAAGCCCUCCAUGGGGUCAUAGGACACGCCCACUCUGUUCACACACCUGUGGGUAACUGUCAUGUUGACAACUCUUUAGCUAGGGCAACUCCUCACCCACUUAGAAAAAGGAUACGUACAUAUGUCGAUAGAUGCCCAGAGCUCCGGAUUUGGAAACACCAGCCAGGCGCAUAAUUGCACUUGGAGACAUCCAGGGUGAUAAGCUUGCCUCUAUCUUCACAUAUCAAAGACAGACAUGGAUUCCCCCAGCAUGUUGCUAUAAAAUAUGCACUUAAUUAUGCUGUGGGAGGAUUUCUUUUACAGGCAUCUUGCGAUUUGUUAUUUACGCUUCGCUGUCAUAUGUACAGGGGUGGCAGUGGGCCUGCCCCCUGGGGGACCUGGAGAUAUUCAUGGAACCAACUUCUUUGUCAGUUUUAUUUGUUAACAUGUCACCCAUCAGCACGUUGCCAGCAGACGCCCACUGCCUUGAUUCCAGGAGUCUAUGACCCACUCGGUCAGAUUUACUUACAUAGGAAUCAUGUGUAUAUGGAUGUUUUGUCUGCAUGUACAUCUUCACAGCAAAAGAGGAUACCAGGUCCUGAGACUACAGAUGCUGUCAUGUGGCCGCUGGGCUCACAGACCCCAGAGCACAGUGUGUGUGCACGUGAACCACAUGCACUGCGGCUGGGAACCCUGUGUAUCGAGACAACGGAGAUAGGUGGCUACUUUCAAGGGCUUGCUUUCUGCGCUCUCACACUCUGAUUACGGUGUACACACCAGUUCCCAUCCAUGUACAUUGUAUGACUUUACUUUUAGUUUUUAGACAUGGCGCUGUGUCACCAAGGCUGUGGUCAAUUUGCCAAAACAACCAAGGAUGACUUGAAUUUCUGAUCUUUCUCGCCUCUACCUUGCAGGAGCUGGGAUUACCUGGUUUGUACAGUGCUAGGUCAGGCUGAUGGCUUGCUAGAUGAGCCUCCUAGAUGAAUGCUCUACCAGGUUGAUUUACCUUUACCCAGGACUUGUGUAACUUUUGUUGUAUUUACUCUCCCAUGCAAUUUUGCUUAAUAUCCUAGAAGUUACUUGCUCUAAACUUUAAAUUUUCUGUUAUUGGGAUGCAAGAAGAGAAAUCUGCUUGGUCAGAACUGACUUUCAAAAGACUGCAGUAAUGAAACAUACUAAUUUUUAAGUACUGUAUGUGCUUUGAAUUUAGGUCCUUGUAUAAUCUGUAAAUGACUAGCUUUCCCCUCCCAUUGCAAUCCUUAUGUUUGUAAUUUUCCCUCUAAAUUUACAGACGGAACACAGAACUUAUGAAAGAAGAGUCUUUGUCUUGUUUCAGAUUUUAAAGAAGAGCUCAACAAAUAAUACAUUCAGCACGGAAAGGAACCUGCACACACUUCGCCCAUUUCCCCAGUGCUGGGGUACAGGGCACUCAGCCUGUCAGUGACACCCACGUGAUGGAGCCAGGCUGCAUCACCCAGGCUUGGUCUCCUUCACACCUCACCAGGUCUGACUCAUUGAGGUCUUGAUGUAGCUCAGCCUGACUGUGAAGUCCCAUCAGUCCACAGUCAGACAGUGGCAUCAAACACACCCACACCUUGGUCCCCUCCAUCUAUCCCUAGAGGGACACCUUCAAGUCCUCUUUCCUUCUUUUUAGCCAGCAGCCACUGCUCUUUGUAGAGUUGGGUUAAGAUGGUCUGUCUGUCUGUCUGUCUAUGCCUAUCUAUCUGCCAUUCAUUUAUUGUGCUUGAGACAUAUCUGUGGUUAUGUGCAUUCACACAGCUGUGAACAUCUGUUUCAUGCAGAUGCCAGAGGAGGGCAUCAGUUUGUCCUGUUCUAUCCGUGGAGACUA
rnacentral:lncRNA from 1 species